UACGAAGGGGCUAGCGUUGUUCGGAAUCACUGGGCGUAAAGCGCACGUAGGCGGAUUGUUAAGUCGGGGGUGAAAUCCUGAGGCUCAACCUCAGAACUGCCUUCGAUACUGGCAAUCUCGAGUCCGGAAGAGGUUGGUGGAACAGCUAGUGUAGAGGUGAAAUUCGUAGAUAUUAGCUAGAACACCAGUGGCGAAGGCGGCUCACUGGCCCGGUACUGGAACGCUGAGGUGGCGAAAGCGUGGGAGCAAACAGG
rnacentral:rRNA from 1 species